AAUAGAUACCCGGGUAGUCCACGCCGUAAACGGUGGGCACUAGGUGUGGGCAACAUUCCACGUUGCCCGUGCCGCAGCUAACGCAUUAAGUGCCCCGCCUGGGGAGUACGGCCGCAAGGCUAAAACUCAAAGGAAUUGACGGGGGGCCCGCACAAGCGGCGGAGCAUGUGGCUUAAUUCGACGCAACGCGAAGAACCUUACCAAGGCUUGACAUACACCGGAAACGUCUGGAGACAGGCGCCCCCUUGUGGUCGGUGUACAGGUGGUGCAUGGCUGUCGUCAGCUCGUGUCGUGAGAUGUUGGGUUAAGUCCCGCAACGAGCGCAACCCUUGUCCCGUGUUGCCAGCAGGCCCUUGUGGUGCUGGGGACUCACGGGAGACCGCCGGGGUCAACUCGGAGGAAGGUGGGGACGACGUCAAGUCAUCAUGCCCCUUAUGUCUUGGGCUGCACACGUGCUACAAUGGCCGGUACAAUGAGCUGCGAUACCGUGAGGUGGAGCGAAUCUCAAAAAGCCGGUCUCAGUUCGGAUUGGGGU
rnacentral:rRNA from 1 species